rnacentral:rRNA from 1 species
CUUGGUGAGGUAANGGCUCACCAAGGCNACGAUCCCUAGCUGGUCUUGAGAGGAUGAUCAGCCACACUGGNACUGAGACACGGUCCAGACUCCUACGGGAGGCAGCAGUGGGGAAUAUUGCACAAUGGGCGNAAGCCUGAUGCAGCCAUGCCGCGUGUGUGAUGAAGGCCUUCGGGAUGUAAAGCACUUUCGCUCAGGAAGAAAGG